UACGUAGGUGGCAAGCGUUGUCCGGAUUUACUGGGCGUAAAGGAUGCGUAGGUGGAUAUUUAAGUGGGAUGUGAAAUACCCGAGCUCAACUUGGGUGCUGCAUUCCAAACUGGAUAUCUAGAGUGCAGGAGAGGUAAGUGGAAUUCCUAGUGUAGCGGUGAAAUGCGUAGAGAUUAGGAAGAACACCAGUGGCGAAGGCGACUU
rnacentral:rRNA from 1 species